UCCGGUCACACGCGCAGGAUUAUAGUUAAAGACGGUAGAAACCGUCACCCCAGAAGGCAUCCUUGAAAUUUGCUGAGUAGAUCUUAAGUGUUUUCCCCAAGAGCACAGGUGACACACCAACAGCUCUGGAGUCUAGCAGUUACAGAGGAAGUGGAGAGGAGAUGGGGUCAAGGGCAACCUCCCAGCGUGGAACUUGGUCUUGGUGAAUUUCCUGGCCUUUUCUUGAUGCUUCUGAGACAAGGGGCUGGCUUCCUGUUGAUCAUUCUGCAGUCCUGCUUUAGACUCCGAGUAGAGCAGAUCUGGCGUCACGUCUCAGUCUCUUUGUUUGCCCGUUUGAUUUGAUGGUAUUGCAAAACAUAUUUAGAAAUGUCCUAAUUUUAAGCCAUCCUCACAUCCCUGAGGUUAACUAACCUUGAGCAUGGUAGAUUGGUCUUCCAAUGUGCUGUUUAAAUGUUUUCUGGUACUUCAAUUACAGAUUUUUCCUCUCCAUUCCAAAA